rnacentral:rRNA from 1 species
AUUGAACGCUGGCGGCAGGCUUAACACAUGCAAGUCGAACGAGUGGCGGACGGGUGAGUAAUGCUUGGGAAUCCAGCUUAUGGAGGGGGAUAACUACGGGAAACUGUAGCUAAUACCGCGUACGAUAGGAUGAGCCCAAGUGGGGUUAGGUAGUUGGUGAGGUAAAGGCUCACCAAGCCGACGAUCUCUACCUGGUCUGAGAGGGUGACCAGCGACAAUGGGACGGAGACACGGCCCAGACUCCUACGGGAGGCAGCAGUGGGGAAUAGUGCGCAAUGGGGGCAACCUGACGCAGGCAUGCCGCGUGAAUGAAGAAGGCCUUCGGGUUGUAAAGUUCUUUCGGUAGCGAGGCGUUAACUACAGAAGAAGCACCGGCUAACUCCGUGCCAGCCGCCGCGGUAAUAC